CGCCGGGCUUCUCCACUCAAGAGUUUACACAGCUGGGGAAACGAAAGUGGAUUCCAAGCCACUCGGGCCGGUCCACCUCGCUUCCUUCUGUGGGUCAGCGGGACACCAGCAUGCAGCCCAGGAGCUCUGGUGCGGGACGGUCAAGGCCCCAGGGGAGUUCAGAGACCUAUCAGCCGUGCAGUCCUCCCAAGGCCAGCAGUCCCUGAGAAGAGGCCAGUUUCAAAUGACGCCAGGGACGGCAUCCUUGGUGCUCACCAGAAACCGACUCAUCCCUUGUUCCCCGCUGUGGCCACUCUCUGACGGCCUUCCCGACCUCAGCUCCUUCCUUUGCCCUGGACCACAAUCUCCAGCCAUGCUGGCCUCGCUCUCCCCUACGUACUCGGACCCUUUCUCACCUUAGAGCCUUUGUUCUUGCCAGUCCUGCUGCCUGCAGUGCCCUCCCCUGCUUUCCCGACCACCUGCCCCUCCUCUCCUCCACGCCUCAGUCUCGCCCCUUCCAAGGUCUUUCCUGGUACCCGAUCUAAAGUCGCUAACCCACAGGGUGCCUGGGUGGCUCAGUGGGUUAAGCCUCUGCCUUCGGCUCAGGUCAUGAUCCCAGAGUCCCAGGAUCGAGCCCCACAUCGGGCUCUCCCCUCAGCAGAGCCUGCUUCCUCUCUCUCCCCACUUGUAAUCUCUAUCUGUCAAAUAAAUAAAUAAAAUCUUUAAAAAAAAAUAAA